rnacentral:rRNA from 1 species
CCUACGGGAGGCUGCAGUGGGGAAUAUUGGACAAUGGGGGGAACCCUGAUCCAGCCAUGCCGCGUGUGUGAAGAAGGCCCUCGGGUUGUAUAGCACUUUCAGUGAGGAAGAACGCCUGGUGGUUAAUACCCAUCAGGAAAGACAUCACUCACAGAAGAAGCACCGGCUAACUCCGUGCCAGCAGCCGCGGUAAUACGGAGGGUGCGAGCGUUAAUCGGAAUUACUGGGCGUAAAGCGCGCGUAGGUGGCUUGAUAAGCCGGUUGUGAAAGCCCCGGGCUCAACCUGGGAACGGCAUCCGGAACUGUCAAGCUAGAGUGCAGGAGAGGAAGGUAGAAUUCCCGGUGUAGCGGUGAAAUGCGUAGAGAUCGGGAGGAAUACCAGUGGCGAAGGCGGCCUUCUGGACUGACACUGACACUGAGGUGCGAAAGCGUGGGUAGCAAACAGGAUUAGAUACCCGUGUAGUC